UACGUAUGGAGCAAGCGUUAUCCGGAUUUACUGGGUGUAAAGGGUGCGUAGGUGGCAGUGCAAGUCAGAUGUGAAAGGCCGGGGCUCAACCCCGGAGCUGCAUUUGAAACUGCUCGGCUAGAGUACAGGAGAGGUAGGCGGAAUUCCUAGUGUAGCGGUGAAAUGCGUAGAUAUUAGGAGGAACACCAGUGGCGAAGGCGGCCUGCUGGACUGUUACUGACACUGAGGCACGAAAGCGUGGGGAGCAAACAGG
rnacentral:rRNA from 1 species